rnacentral:rRNA from 1 species
UAAACAUUGAUAACAUCUUACAUUUGUUAUCCGCCAGGGGACUACAAGCAUCAGCUUAAAACCCAAAGGACUUGGCGGUGCUUAAGAUCCACCUAGAGGAGCCUGUUCUAGAACCGAUAACCCCCGUUCAACCUCACCUUCUCUUGUUCAUUCCGCCUAUAUACCGCCGUCGUCAGCUUACCCUCUGAGGGUUUAAUAGUAAGCUAAAUUGGCACAGCCUAAAACGUCAGGUCGAGGUGUAGCAUAUGAAAAGGAAAGAAAUGGGCUACAUUCCCUAAUAUAGCGAACACGAAUAAUGCACUGAAACAAACAUUUAAAGGAGGAUUUAGCAGUAAGUAGAAAAUAGAGCGUUCUACUGAAACUGGCCCUGAAGCGCGCACACACCGCCCGUCACUCUCCCCAAGCCUUAAACCAAUAUAAAUAAUACCUCACAACCGCAAAGGGGAGGCAAGUCGUAACAUGGUAAGUGCACCGGAAGGUGCGCUUGGAAUAAU